rnacentral:lncRNA from 1 species
CCUUCUCCUCCUCGCCUACAGCACCCAAUUAAAGCCUUCUUCUUUGGCAGUAAUCAUCGUCUCAGUCAUUGGCUUUCUGUGCAGCCAGCAGCAGGCCCUAAACCAAACCCCAGGCAUUUCGUAUUCACGUUUAGAGGAGAAGGCCUCUUUACUGCCUUCCGCUGAACCAGCCACUCAUGGUACCUGCCAAUCUCCAUGGCCUCUGCUGAGCAUUCUCUCUGACAGCCCCCAGUCAGGGACACUGGAGGACCGGAGGCUGUGCUCUGGUGCACACCCUCCCCAACUUGUGCUUUCACCUAUUGGACUGUCUUCUAACCAAAAGUCUGUUGUGUUUGUCCCCAUACCUGUUCUUGCUAUCAUAUUUGAUUUUAUAAUUGCAAAAUUUAAUUAAAUAUUACAUAAACCAUUAAAAUGUGAGUGCAAAACAAAAUUAUAAAGACUAAGUUGCAAAUUUCAAUAAAAAUGAGUCACUAAAAAUAAAGGCUACU